rnacentral:rRNA from 1 species
UACGUAGGGGGCUAGCGUUGUCCGGAAUCAUUGGGCGUAAAGAGCGUGUAGGCGGCCCGGUAAGUCCGCUGUGAAAGUCAAGGGCUCAACCCUUGAAAGCCGGUUGAUACUGUCGGGCUAGAGUCCGGAAGAGGCGAGUGGAAUUCCCGGUGUAGCGGUGAAAUGCGCAGAUAUCGGGAGGAACACCAAUGGCGAAGGCAGCUCGCUGGGACGGUACUGACGCUGAGGCGCGAAAGCGUGGGGAGCAAACAGG